rnacentral:rRNA from 1 species
UACGGAGGAUGCGAGCGUUAUCCGGAUUUAUUGGGUUUAAAGGGUGCGCAGGCGGAGGCACAAGUCAGCGGUAAAAUCGCGGGGCUCAACCCCGCUCCGCCGUUGAAACUGUGUCCCUUGAGUGCGCGAAGGGUAGGCGGAAUGCGUGGUGUAGCGGUGAAAUGCAUAGAUAUCACGCAGAACUCCGAUCGCGAAGGCAGCCUCCCGGCACGCUACUGACGCUCAUGCACGAAAGCGUGGGUAUCGAACAGG